rnacentral:rRNA from 1 species
GACGAACGCUGGCGGCGUGCUUAACACAUGCAAGUCGAACGGUAAGGCCCUUCGGGGUACACGAGUGGCGAACGGGUGAGUAACACGUGGGUGAUCUGCCCUGCACUUCGGGAUAAGCCUGGGAAACUGGGUCUAAUACCGGAUAGGACCACUGCCUGCAUGGGUGGUGGUGGAAAGCUUUUGCGGUGUGGGAUGGGCCCGCGGCCUAUCAGCUUGUUGGUGGGGUGAUGGCCUACCAAGGCGACGACGGGUAGCCGGCCGGAGAGGGUGACCGGCCAGACGGGGACUGAGAUACGGCCCAGACUCCUACGGGAGGCAGCAGUGGGGAAUAUUGCACAAUGGGCGCAAGCCUGAUGCAGCGACGCCGCGUGAGGGAUGACGGCCUUCGGGUUGUAAACCUCUUUCAGCACCGACGAGGCGCAAGUGACGGUAGGUGCAGAAGAAGGACCGGCCAACUACGUGCCAGCCGCCGCAGUAA